GGGCUGUCAAAGUGGAAGAACGCAACAUUCUUAAGCACUAGAUCCGGGAAAGGAACACCACAGUGGAUGGCCCCUGAAGUUCUAAGGAGUGAACCUCCGAAUGAUAAGUACAUCUUAUGGAAUCAAUACUUUUGUUGUAACAGGUGUGAUGUGCUCAGCUUUGGAAUCAUCUUAUGGGAGCUAAUGACUACUUUAAUUCCAUGGGACCGUCUAAGCUCUAUCAGGUACCUUAUCAACUUGUGAGAUUAUAGCACAAUAAUAAAGAUUCUAAUCAAGUUUAAAAUAGGUUGUGGGAUUCAUGGACCGACGGUUGGACUUGCCUGAAAGAUUAAAAACUCAGAUCGCAUCCAUAGUAGAAGAUUGUUGGCAAACGUAAGACACGAUAUACAUAUUAUACAUUGUUUCACCAAAUAUUCCCUCAAAUCAUUGGUUAGGGUGUCUAGGGUAUCUAUAACCUUUUUGUGAUACGUUCUUGGAACAGUGAUCCAGCAAAACGACCGUCGUUUGAAGUUAUAAUUAGUAGGAUGAUGAGCCUGUUCUGCAAAGCGGGGUCGAGUGCACAGGAAGAAGAGGAUUGAGAAGGUUAAAAUGGUUCAUGGUCAGAGGAGAUGGUUCACACAAAGCAAAGGACGUCAACAAAAGAAAAACAUACUUUUAUAAAGUUAAUAUAAUAUGGUCAAUGUGAGCACUUACGUUCUUUUUACUCGUGCUGUCCUAAAUGUUUUAUUUUUAUUUCUUUGCCAAACUCGCAAUGUGAGCACAUACUUUUAUAAAGUUAAUAUAAUAUGGUCAAUGUGAGCACAUACUUUUAUAAUGUUAAAUAUAAUAUGGCCUGGAGAGCAGUGCUGGAACCAUCUCCAGUGAGACAGGGAGAGCAGUCAAAGCUCAUUCAAUUUGGUACAAUGUAUUGUCUCUGUGAUCUUGCUGAUGAACAAGGACGUCAAAGUUAGGAAGAUGCUAUAACCAUUCAAGUCAGAAAUUGAUUUGAUUCUGCACAACGUUAUCACAUUGCAGGUGAUCAUUUGUUUUUUUCUCCUACUCUCUUAUCGUUAUAUAUUGCAAAAUUCAUGCUGCUGAUUGAGUUUUUACCUCUUUAAUUUCCUUUGCAGUCCUCUAUCUUGACUGUAGAAGUAAAACAUAUUAUGAAAACCACAGAAAAGCAACUUAGGAUUGCAUCAAAUAGCUUAGUAGGCUGUGCAACUGUGACAGUAUAAUGAUUUUUGGCUCUCGGUUGCAAAAAUGAUAUGUUUUUUCUUUGCUUACUCGGGAAAGCACCAACUUUAAGUUCACAAUUUUCAUAUGUUUCACGGCUCGGACAUGUUCCAUGAGUAGCAGCAUAUCCACACUAAGAGUGCUCCCAAAAGGCCAGGAGAUCAGAAUUUUUUUUUGGUUGUUUCCCCACAAGAUAUAACCAAAUAAAUAAUAAGUAUUUAGUGAAAAGACAUAAUUAAAGUCAACUUAGUUAGUUUGAUAAAAAAACGAAAAAAACAAAAAAAAACUUAUUAAACAAUUUUCAUAACAAAAUAAUAAUUUAGUUAAACGUAUAUUAUAUCAUACAAAAUACAUAAAUUCCAAGAAUAAAUAGGAAUUUUUUCACAAAAUCAAAAAGAAGAGAACUCUAUUUACAAUAUUUUUCUGCAAAUGUCAUCAAACACCCAUGAAAAAAGGGAGUCUCACAUAAAUUUUUUUAUACCAAGUUCAAGCAUAGAUAAAUAAACAGAAAGAUGAUGCAGCCCACAGUAAAUUAUUAAUACAUAAUAAAAAUAAAUAUUUUGCAAAAAUCAGUUCAAAAUAAUAAUAUAACAAAUAAAACCAUAAAUUUACUCAAAAUACUUAAUAGAACUUGUGUUUGGUAAAAAUAUUAGUCAACAAAUACCAAUUUAGUAAAAAAAUACAUAAUAUAAUUCAAAAUAUAACUUCAACAGUAUAUAGAAUUUUUUUAUUAAAAAUCCAUUUACGCUAAUAUAUUUUUUCCGUCUCAUCAAAUCCAUGUUAACGUUAAUAAAAUAAAAAGUCAAUCUCACUUACAUUUCCCAUUUCUGGACAUCAGGUUCAAUUUUUAAAUAAUUAACAAGAAAACUGAUGUAAAAUAGUGAUUAAUACAAAAUCAAAAUAAGAUUUAGCACAAUCAAAAAAAUCACAAGAUCAAACAAAUAAAACAAUAAAAUGUAGUACCAUACCUAUUAGGCUAUUACCAUUAUUGACAAACACUUCUAGAAACAACAAAAUAGCACCACAAUGCUUUUUAUGCACUUUAAAAGAUUCUAUACAAAAAUAAAUAUGGAGAAAUUUUUACGCAUAGCACUAUUUUCUUGAACAAGCGUGUGUUACAGAGUCACAUUGGUUCUAGCAUAGGCCGCACAAGUAUAACUGAAAUGAAUACUUAAUAAAAUAGUAUAAUUUCAUAAAAUAUGUUGAUAACAAAUAAAAAUCUAAACACGUAAGAGUUAUAAACAAAGGUCAAAUGUUAACAAAUAAAUAUAAAAUUCAAAAAAUUAAUAAAUUUAUAAUAAGAUCUUAGAAAACAAAUAUUUAUCAUAUUUAAUUUAAAGUAAUUUUCAAAUGUUCUAUAAAAUUAAAAUAUACUUGAUAUAAAAUGAUUUUGUUGUAAACUUACCCGCCCGUAGGGCGGGCCAACCUCUAGUACUAUUAUAAAAUGUGCAUUUCAUUAGCGUCUAAUUUACAUCUAAUGUAAGUAUGUAAAAUGUGCACUUAUGUGAACAAAAAACUCCAACUAUGACUUUACGAGAUAUUAAUAGCAAGACGUACUAAUAUACUUUUUUUGGUAGGAGCAAGACGUACUAAUAUUUAUCAAUAGACAUCUACGCGUUUUGUACAAGCAUGUUCUUUAUUAAUCUACAUUCUCUCUCGACCUUUCAUCUCAUCUGCGAAAAAAGGACCUUCUCUCUCCUCUAUCUACAUUCUCUCUCGACCUUUCAUCUCAUCUGCGACUGAAUCUUACUCUCCGGCAUACGGACGUCGCGUCAGAGCGCGUGCCAGAGCCGGAGGGAUCUCUUCUCCUCUGUCUCGUCUUCCUCUUUGCUCUAGGUCGUCUCUGCUCUCCCUCUCCCGAUAUGCUUGCUCUUCUAGGUUUGAGCUUGCGUCGCCUGUGGAAGCUUCAGUCGCGAGGAGCCGAUACAAGGUAGGGGUAACUCUUUCUCCGGAAUUGCGGUGAGGGUCCGGCGAAGUAGAGCGAUCUAGAGUCGGCUUUUGAGUUUAUGGAGAGAUUCACUUUUCCCUUUUAUGGAUCUCUCGGGUUCUCUGUCGUCGAGGGGUGGUAGCAAAGGGUCUUGUCACGGGGGCUUCGGCGGUGGUCUGCAGCUGCGGGUCUGUUGCUGGUGCUCGUGCUUGUUCGGUUAUGGUGGUGUUUGCUUAGGAUUUCUUCGGGUCGGAGAGAUUUCGAUGCUUGGCUUGCCGUAACCAAGAGUUCUCUCAGGUUCUUUGAGGGCUUAGGAGACGAGGGUUGAAGGCGGAUGUGAUCGUGGUGAAAGUGUCCGGUCUGAUUUCUUCGUGCGUGUGUUUUCCGGUUCACCUCGAGUGGUCGUCUAUGGCCAUGAGAGGUCUUCUUGUUGCCUCGCAACUCUUUCGAAGCUCCUGCUCCUGGCUUCCUGUUUUGUUCUUCUCCGAGAGUAGGUGACGGCUUCACUCGACGAGUUCAAGUCUCUCGCUCAUCAUCGUCAUAUCACACCCCGUGGCUCAGGGGUUGAUAGUUCUUGAUCAAGAAAUUGGUCCUUUGGUUCUCAAAGGCCUUGGUUGCUUAGGCGGUUCUCGGGGGUCAUUCGCCGCCUCAGAGUCAGCAUCCAGUCGAAGCUCACAUCCCGGCACCGUGGUGAUUGGUCUUGUUCCUUCUACGGUGGUGAGGCUGGCGUUUCUUGCACAGGUUUAGAGACUGCUUUUCAGGAAGUGGCGGUGGAGGCAACUCAUCUUUGUACAAGUUUCGUAGAUGGCGGAAGCGAGUGCUUGCUCGUUUUGGGAUGCGGUCAAAGUGUCGGUGGCGCUUUAUACGAGCUGGCCUUGGUGGCAUUCGCAAGGCAUUGGUAAGUAUCUGAUCUCUCCCCUUCGGUCGUCUUGCGCUUCAUAGACAGAGAAACUUAUGAGCUUGUGGAGAUCAUCGGGAACUAGCUACUCCGGAAACGUCAAGGGAACUCCCGGCAUCCGCAGAAACGCGGAGAACCUCACUUUCCCGAGAAUCACGUUGAUGGUUGAGAACGGCUACCGAUAUCGAAGGAUUUCAAAAAACAUCCUAGCGGAAUGUGCCGGGUUUAGUGGGUGGGCGAAGCUAGGUUUGUAAUAGUCAGAUUUUGAUAAUUUUGUUCAAAACAAGCUUGUAACCGUAUCUGAUUCCCGAUCUUUCGAGCAGAUUUUAUAUAUUAAUAUAAAAAAAAAAAAAAAGCAUGUUCUUUA